UACGUAGGGUGCAAGCGUUAGCCGGAUUUAUUGGGCGUAAAGGGCUCGUAGGCGGUUCGUCGCGUCCGGUGUGAAAGUCCAUCGCUUAACGGUGGAUCCGCGCCGGGUACGGGCGGGCUUGAGUGCGGUAGGGGAGACUGGAAUUCCCGGUGUAACGGUGGAAUGUGUAGAUAUCGGGAAGAACACCAAUGGCGAAGGCAGGUCUCUGGGCCGUUACUGACGCUGAGGAGCGAAAGCGUGGGGAGCGAACAGG
rnacentral:rRNA from 1 species